AGACCUUCCUCGACACCCCACGUUAUGUGGGUUUCCGCAAGACCUUCCGCCAUUGCCUGGGCUUUGAAAGCGCUUUAGGAACGAUACGGAAACGGAGGCUUAGAAGUGGAAACUUUACAGAUAUGGAAACUGAGACUUAGAAAAAUGACCCGUCAAAGGUAUGAGAAGUGGCAGCACUAAGGCUCUAGUUUGCUACGAAUAUGAUCCUGAUAAUUAAAUCUCUGAGUUUCUCUAUCAAUAUCUUCAAAAACUAGAGUAGUGAUACCUAUCUCACAAAGGUGUUGAGUAGACUAAAAGAAAAGGUAUACGAAGCCCGGAUACUGACUGAGCAUGUUCACUGUGUGUCCAGGCUCUGAGUAGAAGGUGAGCUGUGUGUGAAACAAGCUACCUGCUGACAAUAAAACAAGUCAGGCUGUGGGGCUGAUAGCUGCAGAAGAAUUAUGGGCAUCAGAAUAUAUUUUUAAAAUAUAAACAUUUGAUCCCGUCAUUCCACAGAUGGAACGCUGCAUUUAUAUAACUUGUUUAGUCAUCUACCAGUUUCAUUUGUCUUUCUUGCACUGUCCUGGAGGGCCUCACAGCUACAUUCGGAGGCCACAAGGCAAAUGUACAGUGUGCUUCAAUUGGAACAGGAGUUGCUGUGACUUCUCCCUUCGGAGCAAUCACUGUUGCCCACUCAUAUGGACAUACUGAAGGAAAUUCUUGGAACGAGGGUGUAGUAGAGAGGGAGCAGGGGAAAGAACGAAGGGAAGAUUGAAAGAAGAUGGAGCCACAAAGGAGCCAUAGCCUCCUCACACCUCAGUCUUGUUUUAUCUCUGCCAGCCAUUGUUGUGGUGGCUACUAACAUAAUAUAUGUUAAUCUUCUUACAAAUUAUUUUACUAAUAUCUUACUUGAUAUAUUGAACUUUAAUUAUCUUUCUCCUCAUUGCUCUUACUCCAUCUAUGUAUUUAUUUAUUAUUUUUAUUUUUUAUUUUUUUGAGACAGAGUCUCGCUCUGUCGCCCAGGCUGGAGUGCGGUGGCGCAAUCUCGGCUCACUGCAACCUCCGCCACCCGGGUUCAAGUGAUUCUCAUGCCCCAGCGUCCGGAGUAGCUGGGAUUACAGCGUGCGCCAACAUGCCCAGCUAAUUUUUGUAAUUUUAGUAGAGAUAGGAUUUCACUGUAUUGGCAAGGCUGGUCUCAAACUCCUGUGCUCAGGUGAUCUCCCUGUCUCAGCCUCCCAAAGUGCUGGGAUUACAGGCGUGAACCACCGCGCCGUGCCGUCCAUCUAUUUUAAAAUCAGGUGGCUAAGCAGUCCUGUUUAACUGUAGAAGGAUCACAGAAUUUGAGAGCUGGACGAUACUUCAGAGAUGUAUCAUCCAGGAACUCAAUCUAUCAUGAGAAAACAAAUCCAGAAAAGUUAUGUAAUUUGUCCCAGAUCAAAUGAUGAAUCUACUGCACCCUCAUUCUCUAAAUUGCCUCUCCUAAUCCUCUUACCGACUGAUUCAACCCAGAAAGUCUGGGCAUAUUUAAAUAAAAUUUGUGAGUAAGGCUGAGGUCUCAGCAAAUCUGUUAUGCCCUUAGUUUACAGUCCAGGGAUACCUGUAUACCUGCAGGUUGUGUUAGAGGACUUUGAACAUCUGCCAAGGAAAAGCCCUGAUUAAAGAUAAUGAUGAUUCAGAGUGAAUAGCUUUUCCCAGGAGUUUGCAACAGUAAAAAGGCUAGGAAACAAGAAGUGAACUCUAGGAAAAAGAUGAUCCUGGCUUUAAGAUCUCUUGUGAAGCUUACUAUUCUUCUGUCUCCAAAAUAUUUCCAAGAAACAUAUUCAGUGAUAAACUUUACUGGAAGACACAUGCAUUAGAAAAUAUAUUGUUUAAAAUGCUCCCAUGCUUAGGCUAAAAAGUGAUAGAAGCUCAAAUAUUUGUUUGUGUUUUAAAUGUAUUUAUCAUUGUAUAAUGCUACAUAAAUUUAACAAAAGACUUUUUGAUCAUGAAUUGAUGAUUCUAAAAAUAACCAGUUUGUCAAUAAGGAGUCUAGACUUCAAGCCCCUUGAGGUCAAGAACCAAGUUUUUCUAUAAUCUAAUUUCUAAGAAGAGCUUCAGGUACAGUGGUGAUGUUCAAUAAUGUUUGUCAAUAAAAUAAGUAACUAAUCUCAAAUUUUACAAUACCAGGACUAGUAUAUAAUAUUCCUAAAUACUGGUCUGCCACUUGGGCUAAAAGGUUAGAAUUAUGAAUAAAAGUCUGAUUUUUUUUUCCUGAAGGAUCAUUUUCAAUGCAUUUUUUAAAAGCAACUACCUAUAUUUAAUGAUAUCUACAUUUUUGUAUGCCUUGGUAUUAACAGUAAUUUGGAUCAAUCUUCAACAAAAUAUGAAAGAUAUCAGCUUGAAGGCAUGAGAAAGCUAAAAAGUUAAUGAGGAAUUACCAGGCCAUGAUCUGGGGAAUGAUGGAGGUCAAUUCCGUAGAGGGCUGCUGAGAGGAUGAGCAGGAAUGGGGGACAGAGAUUUGAGUUCAGGGCAUACUAAGAGAGAAAGAGAUGAACUCUGUUGAAGGCCCCUUGCUUUGGACUAGGAAUUCAAAGAGCUCCAUCAUAAAAGUAAAAGGUCUGUAGCUCAGUUUCAGAUCAUCUCAACCUUGAAACUGGAUUAGGAUAAUUCCUUUGAGCUCAUGCCCACAAGCACUUGGCAGAAGCAAACUAAAAUCCUUUCUGGAGUGAAACUAUAUCAUUCUAGGCCUCAAAUAAUUUCUACAGAUAAUUUUGAAAUCACAGUGCCUCGUACACAAUUUUUAAAAAUCAGUUACCUAAGGAAAUUAGAAAAAUAUAGCAGAAACAACAGAGAACAAAAACAGACCCAACAGGGGUCAGGUAAUGAAAUUAUCAGGUACAGAUUUAAAAAUAACAAUGCCUACUAUGUUCAAAUAAAUCAAACACAAGAUUAAAUAUGUGGGCAGACAACUAGAAACUUGAAAAAAGAGCCAGAUGAAAAUUUUGGAACAAAAAAAUUUACUAACUGAAAAUAAAGACUCAAUGAUGGGUUUAAGAGCAUAUUAGGCACAGAUAAAGAUAGAAUUAGUGAACUAGAAGGUAAGUCAGAAGAAACUAUUCAGAAUGAAGCACAAAAAGGAAAAAAGAUGGAAAAUAUAGAACACAUAGAAGAUAGAGUUAGGAAGUUUAAUAUGAACAUAAAUGACAUUCCAAAAGGAAGGGAAAAGGUAUUCAGCUUAAAUAAUAUUUGAACCAAUGAAUCUCCAUCAGGAUAUUUUUUUAAUCCACACAGCUGAUAUAUAGACACAUCAUGAAAAACUUGCUAAAAUCUGAAGACAAGAAGAAAAAUCUUUAAGAGCAGCCAGAGAAAAGAGAGGACUUAAAAAAAAGAAAAUUAGACUUGCAGUUGACUUUUUAACAGAAAUAGCUGAAGCCAGAAAAUGAUGGAAUGACAACUUUAAAGGGAUGAAACAAAUAUUUUUUAAGAAUGAAAGUAAAAUUAAGGAAUUUCCAAAGGAACAAAACAGUAUUCACAGUGGCAUUCCAUAGGCAGGAAGUAAAUGAUCCCAGUUAUAUCAUAGAUAUGGUAGGAAAUAAAGAUCAAGAAAAAUGAUAAAUAUAUAGGUAAAUCUAAAUGAAUAUUGAUACUGACUAUAUAAGACUAUAAUAGUCUUGUCUUCUGUAUUUAAAAAUAUACAGUAGGCUAAGUGCGGUGGUUCACGGCUGUAAUCCCAGCACUUUGGGAGGCUGAGGCAGGAGGACUUGAGCCCAGGAGUUAGAGACAAGCCUGGGCAACAUAGUGAGACCCCAUCUGUACAUAAAAUUAAAAAAUUAGCCAGGCACGAUGGCACAUUCCUGUAGUGGAAAGCCUGGGAAGCUGAGGUGGGAAGAUUGCUUGAGCCCCGUAAGCCAUCAUUGCACCACUGCACUGCACUCUAGCCUGAGCAACAGAGACCCUCUUAAGACACACACACACACACACACACACACACACACGAAAUAAUGGUAUAUGUCAGGAGAAGGUAAAUGGAAUCAAGUGUUCUAAAAUCAGUGCAUUUUCUAGAAGUAUGGAAAAAGUGAUAGUUAAUAUUAGACUCUGGUAAGUCAAGAAUACAUCUUAUGAGCUUUAGAAUAAUCAUUGAGAAAAUAGUAAGAAACUGUAUUAGUCAGGAUUCUUCAGAGAAACAGAAGUGGAGGCUUAGUAGCCUAAAAGCUGUAAGGUAGAACAACAGGCUAGAGACAAAGAAGAGUUGCAGUUUGAGUCCAAAAGCAGUCGGCUAGCAGAAUUCCUUCUUGCCCAUGGGAGAUAAAUCUUUGUUCUAUUAAGGCAUUGGAUAAGAUCUACCCACCUUAUGGAAGGUAAUCUGCUUUAUUAAAGUCUACAGAUUUAAAUGUUAAUCUCAUCCAAAAAACACCUUCACAGAAACAUUUAGAAUAGUGUUUGACCAAACAUUUGGCCACCAGUGGCACUGGCAAGUUGAUUCAUAAAAUAAGCCAGGACACUAUGCAAUUUCCAAUCUAAUUUGAGCAUGUGAGGAAAUAAAAAAUAAUCUAAAUGCAAGAUAGAAGAGAAAUAAGAACAUAUGAUAGAGCAAAUAGAAAGUUGUUAUAAGAUGGUAGACAUAAACCCAAAUAUAUCACUAAUUACACUAAAUGAAAACAGAUCAUAAUUUAAUGACAAAGAUUGUUUUUGUUGCCUAUUGUUAUAUAACAAACUACCCCAAAAUUUAGUAGCUUAGGCCCAGCACGGUGCCUCACACCUGUAAUCCCAGCACUUUGGGAGGCUGAGCAGGUGAAUCACUUGAGGUCAGGAGUUUGAGACCAGCCUAGCUAACAUGGUGAAACCCCAUCUCUAAUAAAAAUGCAAAAAAAUUAGCCAAACGUGGUUGUACCCACCUGUAGUCCCAGCUACUCAGGAGGAUGAGGCACAAGAAUCACUUGAACCAGGAGGUGGAGGUUGCAGUGAGCCCAGAUGGUGCCACUGUACUCCAGCCUGGGCAACAUAGCAAGACCCUAUCUCCAAAAAAAAAAAUGUAGUAGCUUAAAAUCAAAACCAUUUUAUUAUUUUUCCAGAUUCUGUGGGUCAGAAAUUUCAACAGGGCAUAAUGGAGAAGGCUCUCUCUUCUCUGGGUGAUGUCCGCUGGGGCUGAAAUGUUCUAGAUAGCUUCUUCACUCACAUGUCUAGCACCUAGCUAGGAUGGCUCCAAUGGCCGGGGGUUAGAACAGCUUGACUGAUAUCAUAUGUGUGGGGCCUUGGUUCUCACAAUUGAUUGGGUUCUUUGGUUUUUCUACAAGUAGUUCUAGGACUUCUGUUCCACAUGGCCAAUCCAUGUAGCCUCUACAGAAAGAUAGCCGACUUCUUACAUGCAAGCUCAGAGUUCCCAAGAAGAUUAGGUUUAGAACUAACACACUGUCACUUCUGUUACAUUCUAUCAGAUAAAGGAAAUAACAGGCCUAGAGUCAAGAGGAGGAAACUACAUAAGGGUGUAAAUACUAGGAAGUAGGAUGAACCUGGGGCCACCAAUUGAUGUAACCAACUACCACAGAUUGUCACUGGGCAAAAAUAACCACACGCUCUUUACAAGGGGCAUAAUCUAGAACAUAAAAAUACAGAAAGUUUGAAAGUAAAAAAUAGAAAAAAAGUAAACCAUGCAAAAUUACCAAAAGGAAGCUGGAAUAGCUAAAUUAAGUAGAUACUAAGACAAAAAGUACUGGGGCCGGGCACGUUGGCUCACGCCUGUAAUCCCAGCACUUUGGGAGGCCGAGGCGGGCGGAUCACGAGGUCAGGAGAUCGAGACCAUCCUGGCUAACACGGUGAAACCCCAUCUCUACUAAAAAAUACAAAAAAAAUUAGCCAGGUGUGGUGGCAGGCACCUGUAAUCCCAGCUGCUCGGGAGGCUGAGGCAGGAGAAUGGCAUGAACCCAGGAGUUGGAGCUUGCAGUGAGCCGAGAUCACGCCACUGUACUCCAGCCUGGGCAACAGAGUGAGACUCCGUCUCAAAAAAAAAAAAAAAGACGAAAAGUACUGCUGGAGUGAAAGGGAGACUCUUCAUAAUAAUGAAGACUUAAUUUGCCAGGAAGAUAAAAAUAUUCUAAAUUUGUAUUCCUCCAAUAACAUAACCUCAAAAUAUAUAAAGCAAAAAUUACAGAACUACGAGGAAUAAAAAAUCCAGAAUUUUAGGAGGAGAUGUUAACAUAUUCAGUUACUGAUAAAACAGGCAGACAAAAAAUUCAGUGACUAUGGGUCUGAACAAUGCUAUUAGCAAAGUUAAGUAUAAGGACAUAUGGAAUACUUUUCUACAGUCCUUUACACAUGAAGAAAUUCAUUAGUUUAUGUUAUUUCUGCUUUGGCUCAUGAAGCUGGUAAGGAUAUCAGAGGAUCCUGAGCCUUCAGGCUGCUUAGAAUCUAUCCCUAUUUUACAGAUAGACUGUGUACCUUUACCUCAUUCAUUAAAUAAACAUAUUAACUACUGACUAUGUUCCAGGCCCUGCACUUAGUACAGAGAUGAAAAUAGUAGUUAAAACUACAGACAAGCAAAUCAGAAAAUAUAAUUGCAGUAUACAAGUGCAGUGAUAGAGCUUUACAUAAGUAGUAAUGGGAAUCAAGUCCUAACUCAGCCCUGGGAGAUGUCUGAACAAAGAUUGAAGAGAGAAGAAUAUAGAGUAGAGGUAGGAAUGGGAGUGGUAGAAGGAGGGGUGGAACCAUAUCUAGCAAAGCCUAGUGGGGAAAGAGCAUGAUUAUUCAAGUCAGAGAACUGCCAGUCAUUUGGAAUGUCUGGAAUACAAAAGGUUGCUCAAGUUAGGGAUUAUCUGGUUGCAAGAAACAGAAACUCAUGCCAGCUGGCUAAAGUAGGAGAAAUGAAUAUAAAAAUAGGCAGGGAUUAUGUGAGACACAACUGUGGGAAGCACAGCCAACAUUAACAAGAACUCUCCCCUUUCUCUCUCUCACCAUCUAGUCUUGGCUUUUCUUUGUGUGUCUGUUUCACUCUCUGCUCACUUAUAGGCUUACAUGUGGCCCAUUAUGGCUGUCCCAGAUACGGGCCUUGGCUCUCCACCUCUGCUACCAACCCACUUUGUCUAACUUUCCUGCUUAGCAACCCACAGUUAUUACCUAACACAGCCUCAGGGUCCCACUUCCAAAUUCCCAGGAGCCGUAAUCAGAGUGAUGCAGCUUCUACAUGCUUGUAUAUCAGGGGUCAGCAAACUAUGGCCCUGGGGGCCAAAUCUAGCCUGCCUUCCACUUUUGUAAAUAAAGUUUUAAUUGAACAUAGCCACACACAUUCAUUAACAUACUAUUUAUGGCUGCUUUGGCACUACAAAGACAGAGUUGUGCAACUGAGACAGAAAACCAAUGGACCGUAAGGCUGAAAACAUUUACUAUGGCGACCUUUACAGAAAAAGUUUGCUGGCCAGGCACGGUGGCUCACGCCUGUAAUCCCAGUACUUUGGGAGGCCUAGGCGAGUGGAUCACCUGAGGUCAGCAGUUCAAGACCAGCGUGGCCAACAUGGUGAAACCCCGUCUCUACUAAAAAUACAAAAACUACCCGGGCAUGGUGGUGCGAACCUGUAAAUCCCAGCUACUUGGGAGGCUGAGGCAGGAGAAUCGCUUGAACCCGGGAGGCAGAGGUUGCAGUGAGCCGAGAUCACGCCACUGCGCUCCAGCCUGUGCAACAGAGUGAGACUCUGUCUCAAAAAAAAAAAAAGUUUGCUGACUUUGCAGUAAACAGGUCAUGUGGAGGUAUAGAGCUGUAUAAAGAUUUACAGGGCAUCAGCUCUGGUAAUGGAAGCUCUGAAAGUGGAUAACCCCUUUGUGUCUUCAAAAAAAAGGAUAAUGGUGGGGAAAGAAACUGUGGCUGUGGAAGUAUUUUGAGAAAGGAACGGGUUGCAAACUAACACAGGAAAGAAAAUAAUCAGUCUCAAGUGUAUGCUAAAUGUUUUACACAACGGGUGAAAGGGUAAAAGACUGUAACUUCUUACUCUGGAGAAAUUCAUUAAGAUGCUAAAUUUAGGAGCGCGUGUCACCUGUUGUCACCUGUAACUGCCUUUAAAUAACUCACUUGUGGCAAAUUUCCCAGACCCUCCAAGCAUAGCUCUUGCUGAGAUGAACUGGCUGAGGCAUAAUAUUUGCUGACUGUACAAAGAUUUUUAAAUGCAUGUCCAGAAGGUUAAAUAUUGUUUACCUUCCAGAGAGAGAGAGAGAGAGAGAGAGAAGGUACUGAGAGAAAGAGACGGGUAAAUAGAAAGAGGCAGAUAGACUGAGACUUGCUCAGGGAGGAGAAAAUAAAAUCUAGAAUUUACCAUUUUGGUAAAUUUAAGAUCAUUGUGGGGAAAUCUUUGUUAAGAAACACUUUUUCUGGGUGAGUAGAAAAAAUAUUAGAUUUUUUAAAACCCUAAGAUUCAUGGCCAGGUGCGGUGGCUCAUGCCUGUAAUCCCAACACUUUGGGAGGCCGAGGCAGGUGGGUCACUUGAGGGCAGGAGUUCGAGACCAGCCUGGCCAACAUGGUGAAACCCCGUCUCUACUAAAAAUACGAAAAAUUAGCUAGGUGUGGUGGCGAACACCUGUAGUCCCAGCUACUCAGGAGGCUGAGGCAAGAGAAUCGCUUGAACCCGAGAGGCAGAGGUUGCAGUGAGCCGAGACUGCACUACUGCACUUCAGCCUGGGUGACAGAGCAAUACUCUGUCUCAAACAAAACAAAACAAACCCCUAAGCUUCAGAUCCUUACUACUCCAAGUGUGGCCCAAGCACACUCAGCGGUGUUGGCAUCACCAGGAAGUUUAUUAGAAAUGCCAAAUCCCGGCUGGGUGUGGUAACUCAUGCCUGUAAUCCCAAAGCUUUGGGAGGCCAAAGCGGGUGGAUCAUCUGAGGUCAGGAGUUCGAGAUCAGCCUGACCAACAUAGUGAAACCCUGUCUCUACUAAAAAUACAAAAAUUAUCUGAGUAUGGUAGUGGCACGCUCCUGUAAUCCCAGAGAUUAGAGAGGCUGAGGCAGGAGAAUCACUCCAACCCGGGAGGCGGAGGUUGCAGUGAGCUGAGAUCAUGCCACUGCACUCCAGCCUGGGCAACACAGUGAGACCCUGUCUCAAAAAAAAAAAAAGAAAAGAAAAAGAAAUGCAAAAUCCCUGGCCCCAUUCUAGACCCAGUGAAUAAGAACCUGCAUUUUAAAAAUCCCAUAAAUGAUUCUGUUAAGAAAAAGUUAUUCAAUGACACUUGUUAAAGCAUGGUAAGGCAGACUUUAUUCAGAACCAUCAUGAUAGGUAUAGGGACCACUGCAAUGAGAUUUUACAGUGGGGAUGAGAGACUGGGCUCAACUCAGAAUACAGCAGGACAAGUGGGAAUUUAUAGCCAAGGAGCAGGUAGGGGCCAGUGGAUGAAAAAUUACUAAGAGCAAACAUCGGCAGUAAGGAGGAUUCUGGCUAAACUAACCUAAGAAGGUUUCUUCUGCUAUAGACAUCCUCUAUAAUCAGACAUCCUCUGGAGGAUGGCAGAGGAUGAAGAAUCCAGUCAGAUACUAAAGGUGGGGGAGGUUCUUGCUAAACUGACGUAGCAGAGUUCUUUGCUAAAAAUGGACUUUACAAGACAGUGUACAAAUAUGCUGGAAGAAGGUUUGGUCGAGCAGAGAAUUUUUGUCAAUUCUAAUUACAUUAAAGUAAGAGAAGCAAUGAAUUAGUACAGUAGUUUUCAGAUGGUUUAAAAUGGAACAGUUGUUUUGUUUCAUAUUCUUUGAAUGAAAUCUUUCAUAAAGCCCAAUUCAUAAAAUAGAUCAAAGUAGACCUGUUCUGAUUGAAGAUGGGAGGAUACUGGAAGGCAGGGAAGGGCUGGAAAACCCAGGUAUGUUUAUUCGAUGUUCCUCCAAGAACACAGUUUGAAAACCACUGAUCUAACAGAAUGAGCAGAAGUAAUAGAAUCCUCAGGCCCAGGGUCUGUUAAACUACCAGGCUGUUUUCCAGCUCCACCUCAUUGAGAACUACUACAAUGAAUCCAUGUUAGGGAUGAGACAUGUCCUGUUUUGAAAGAGUACACAUUUUUAAAAACUUGGGAAUCACUGAUAUAGAUCACAUUUUUCAACUCAGAAAUAAAGCGGCCAGGUGCUGUGGCUCACACCUGUAAUCCCAGCACUUUGGGAGGCCAAGACAAGCAGAUCACUUGAGGUCAAGAGUUUGAGACCAGCCCGGCCAACAUGGUGAAACACCCUCUCUACUAAAAAUACAAAAAAUUAGCUGGGCAUGGUGGCUUAUGCCUGUAAUCCCAGCUACAUGGGAGGCUGAGGCAGGAGAAUUGUUUUAGCCUGGGAGACAGAGGUUGCAGUGAGCUGGGAUUGCGACACUGCACUCCAGCCUGGGCAACAGAGCAAGACUUCGUCUCAAAAUAAAUAAAUAAAGCAUCUAGGGCUCAGAAGGUGACCAUUUAAACUUCAUUAAAACACAGCUACAUUUAAAGCUAUACUAAUUGCUAACAAAAGAAACAAACCUAAUAUUCAAUAAAUCUUAGGGACGGGGACCUGCCAAGAUGGCAAAAUAGGAACAGCUCUGGUCUGCAUCUCCCAGCGGGACCAAUGCAGAAGGUGGAUGAUUUCUGCAUUUCCAACUAAAGUACCCUGUUCAUCUCACUGGGACUGGUUAGACAGUGGGUGCAACCCAUGGAGGGCGAGCAGAAGCAGGGUAGGGCAUCGCCUCACCUGAGAAGUGCAAGGGCUGGAACCUCCCUCCCCUAGCCAAGGAAAGCCAAGAGGGACUGUGCUAUCCCGCCGAGAUACUAUGCUUUUCCCACGGUUUUUGCAACCUGCAGACCAGGAGAUUCCCUUGUGUGCCUACACCACCAGGGCCCUGGGUUUCAAGCACAAAACUGGGCAGCUGUUUGGGCAGACACCAAGCUAGCUGCAGGAGUUUUUUUUUUUUUUUUUUUUGGACCCCAGUGGUGCUUGGAACCCCAGCGAGAGAACCAUUCACUCCUCUGGAAAGGGGCCUGAAGCCAGGGAGCCAAGUGGUCUUGUUCAGCGGGUCCCACUCCCACGGAGCCCAGCAAACUAAGAACCUCUGGCUCAAAAUUGUUGCUGCCAGAACAGCAGUCUGAAGUCAACCAGGGACAAUCAAGCUUGGUGGGAGGAGAGGCAUCCGCCAUUACUGAGGCUUGAGUAGGUGGUUUUCCCCUCACACUGUUAAGGAAGCCACCCAGAAGUUUGGACUAGGCAGAACUCACUGCAGCGCAGAAAAACGGCUGUGGCCAGAUUGCCUCUCUAGAUUCCUCCUCACUGGGCAGGGCAUCUCUGAAAGAAAGGCAGCAGCCUGAGUCGGGCUUAUAGAUAAAACUCCCAUCUCAGUGUGACAGAGCAGCUGGGGGAAGGGGCAGCUGUGAGCACAGCUUCAGCAGACUUAAACGUUCCUGCCUGCUGGCUCUGCAGAGAGCAGCAGAUCUCCCAGCACAGUGCUCGAGCUCUGCUAAGGGACAGUCUGCCUCCUCAAGUGGGUCCUUGACCCCCAUGCCUCCUGACUGGGAGACACUUCCCAGCAGGGGUGGACAGGCACCUCAUACAAGAGAGUUCCAGCUGGCCUCAGGUGGGUGCCCCUCUUGGAUGAAGCUUCCAGAGGAAGGAGCAGGCAGCAAUCUUUGCUGUUCUACAGCCUCUGCUGGUGAUACCCAGGCAACAGGGUCUGGAGUAGACUUCCAGCAGACCUGCAGAAGAGGGGCCUGCCUGUUAGGAGGAAAACUAAGAAACAGAAAGCAAUAUCAAUAUCAACAAAAUGGAUGCCCACAAAAAAACCCCAUCCAAAGGUCAUCAGCAUCAAAGAUCAAAGGUAGAUAAAUCCACGAAGAUGAGGAAAAACCAGCACAAAAAUGCUGAAGAUUCCAAAAACCAGAAUGGCUUUUCUCCUCCAAAUGAUCGCAGCUACUCUCCAGCAAAGGCACAAAACUGGACGGAGAAUGAGUUUGAUGAACUGACAGAAGGAGGCCUCAGAAGGUGGGUAAUAACAAACUCCUCUGAGCUAAAGGAGCGUGUUCUAACCCAAUGCAAGGAAGCUAAGAACCUUGAUAAAAGGUUGCAAGAACUGCUAACUAGAAUAACCAGUUUAGAGAAGAAUAUAAAUGACCUGAUGGAGCUGAGAAACACAGCACGAGAACUUCGUGAAGCAUAUACAAGUAUCAAUAGCUGAAUCGAUCAAGUGGAAGAAAGGAUAUCAGAGAUUGAAGAUCAACUUAAUGAAAUAAAGCGUGAAGACAAGAUUAGAGAAAAAAGAAUGAAAAGGAAUGAACAAAGCCUCCAAGAAAUAUGGGACUAUGUGAAAAGACCAAAAGUACGAUUGAUUGGUGUACCUGAAAGCGAUGGGGAGAAUGGAAUCAAGUUGGAAAACACACUUUAGAAUAUUAUCCAGGAGAACUUCCCCAACCUAGCAAGGCAGGCCAACAUUCAAAUUCAGGAAAUACAAAGAAUACCACAAAGAUAUUCCUCGAGAAGAGCAACCCCAAGACACAUAAUUGUCAGAUUCUCCAAGGCUGAAAUGAAGGAAAAAAUGUUAAGGGCAGCCAGAGACAAAGGUCAGGUACCUACAAAGGGAAGCCCAUCAGACUAACAGCAGAUCUCUUUGCAGAAACCCUACAAGCCAGAAGAGAGUGGGGGCCAAUAUUCAACAUUCUUAAAGAAAAGAAUUUUCAACCCAGAAUUUCAUAUCCAGCCAAACUAAGCUUCACAAAUGAAGGAAAAAUAAGAUCCUUACUGACAAGCAAAUGCUGAGGGAUUUUGUGACCACGAGGCCUGCCUUACAAGAGCUCCUGAAGGAAGCACUAAAUAUGGAAAGGAAAAACCGGGACCAGCCACAACAAAAACACCAAAACAUAAAGAAGAAACUGCAUCAACUAAUGUGCAAAAUAACCAGUUAGCAUCAUGAUAACAGGAUCGAAUUCACACAUAACAAUAUUAACUUUAAACGUAAAUGGGCUAAAUGCCCCAAUUAAAAAACACAGACUGGCAAGUUGGAUAAAAUAUACAGCACACUCCAUCAGUGUGCAAAGACACACAUAGGCUCAAAAUAAAGGGAUGGUGGAAAAUUUACCAAGCAAAUGGAAACAAAAAAAAAGCAGGGUUUGCAAUCCUAAUCUCUGAUAAAACAGACUUUAAACCAACAAAGAUUAAAAAAGACAAAGAAGGGCAUUACAUAAUGGUAAAGGUAUCAAUGCAACAAGAAGAGCUAACUAUCCUGAAUAUAUAUGCACCCAAUACAGGAGCAGCCAGAUUCAUAAAGCAAGUUCUUAGAGACCUACGAAGAGACUUAGAACCCCACUGUCAAUAUUAGGCAGAUCAAUGAGACAAAAAAUUGACAAGGGUAUUCAGAACUUGAACUCAGCUCUGGACCAAGUGGACCUAGUAGACAUCUACAGAACUCUCCACCCCAAAUCAACAGAAUAUACAUUCUUCUCAGCAGCACAUAGCACUUAUUCUAAAAUUGACCACAUAAUUGGUAGUAAAACACUCCUCAGCAAAUGCAAAAGAAUGGAAAUCAUAAAAAACAGUCUCUCAGACCACAAUGCAAUCAAAUUAGAACUCAGGAUUAAGGAACUCAUUGAAAACCACACAACUACAUGGAAACUGAAGAUCCUACUCCUGAAUGACUACUGGGUAAAUAACAAAAUAAAGGCAGAAAUAAAUAAGUUAUUUGAAACCAAUGAGAACAAAGACAUAACAUACCAGAAUCUCUGGGACACACUUAAAGCAGUAUUUAGAGGAAAAUUUAUAGCACUAAAUGCACACAUCAGAAAGCAGGCAAGAUCUAAAAUCAACACCCUACAUCACAAUUAAAAGAACUAGAGAAGGCCAGGCGCAGUGGCUCACGCUUGUAAUCCCAGCACUUUGGGAGGCCAAGGCGGGUGGAUCACCUGAGGUCAGGAGUUCAAGACCAACCUGACCAACAUGGAGAAACCCUGUCUGUACUAAAAAUACAAAAUUAGCCAGGCAUGGUGGUGCAUGCCUCUAAUCCCAGCUGCUUGGGAGGCUGAGGCAGGAGAAUUGCUUGAACCUGGGAGGCAGAGGUUGCAGUGAGCCAAGAUCGCACCACUGCACUGCAGCUGAGGAACAAGAGCAAUACU
rnacentral:lncRNA from 1 species